AACUAAAAUUUUUAAUUUUGAAAAAUAUAAGGGCUAAAAAUGAAGAAAUUAAAAUAUAAAAACUAAAUCUACAACUUUUGCAAAGUAGAGAGACUAAUAGUAAAAUUUAACCUAUAGAAGAAGCUUUGAAGGGUAAAAUGUUCCGAAGAAAAGGCAGGUGUUAACUAAAUUGUAAUACAAGUCUGUAAUUUCCAAUGCGUGAAAUCCUAUCUCAUUGAAAGGUUCUUCCAUGUGAGAAGAACAUGGGAUAAUCUUGUAAUGCGGAUGGGACACAAUUCAAGGUAUAAUAAGCCCUAUUUAAUCCAAUUGAUUAAGUUUCACAGUUUAAACGUAAAACUCUAAAUCCCAACGAUGACCUUUUAUAUGAAAAAGUCAUUAAAUAAACUAAAUCACUAGGAUAAUAUUUCGGUAUUUAAUAUUACUUGUUGCAUCACAAGUAAAUGAAAUUACAACUUUGUCUCAUCUAAAAGGAUUAGGAUUAAUUUCCUACUAAUAUAUAUGCAACAUGCUUGCAGGGAAUAGACCUCUAACAGGAUUAGGAUUAAUUUCCUACUAAUAUAAAUACAACAUGCUUGCAGGGAAUAGACCUCUAACGGGAUUAGGAUUAAUUUCCAAUUCAUAUAAAUACAACACCUUAAAUUACGCGUGGAAGAAUAAUAUAUCGAAAUCAUGGAGAGUUUAAAGUAUUCAUCAAGUUGCAAAGAUGUGCGAAAUCCUAUCAAACUAGUAGCGGAUGCAGUCAAGAGAGGUACAUGAUGAGGCAAAAAUACUUGAGAAGCUAUCCAUUAGUGAGGAGGGAGGAUAAAGAUGAGAAAAUAGGGAUGCGGUGAAGAGAGUAAAGAAGUGGCUGAAAGAGAUGAAAAGAAGAACGCGAUGGUAGGGAGAAUGAGAGGAAGACGGGACCUGCGACUUCUUCCCAAAUGAGAAAAUAGGGAAUGCGGUGAAGAGAGUAAAGAAGUGGCUGAAAGAGAUGAAAAGAAAGAACGAUGGUAGGGAGAAUGAGAGGAAGGCAACGGGACCUGCGACUUCUUCCCACAUUCAAGCCUCCGUGAGCUUGUUGGCUGAAGUUGAUGUGUUUCUACUUCCCACGUUUAGGCCUGCUUGAGAUUGGCUAAAGUGGAAGAAUCCUAAACCUACGAACUGCUCUAAAGUUGUAAUUUCGUAUAGUUAUUUCUAAUUUCGUCUGUUUUUUAACUCCAACAUUAGGCGACAACUAAUUACAUCUCUCUAAAACUAAUUGGAAAUUCAAUUCAAUUUAUUUAUAUUAAAUAAUUU
rnacentral:lncRNA from 1 species